rnacentral:rRNA from 1 species
AAAUUGAAGAGUUUGAUCAUGGCUCAGAUUGAACGCUGGCGGCAGGCCUAACACAUGCAAGUCGAACGGUAACAGGAAGCAGCUUGCUGCUUCGCUGACGAGUGGCGGACGGGUGAGUAAUGUCUGGGAAACUGCCUGAUGGAGGGGGAUAACUACUGGAAACGGUGGCUAAUACCGCAUAACGUCGCAAGACCAAAGAGGGGGACCUUCGGGCCUCUUGCCAUCAGAUGUGCCCAGAUGGGAUUAGCUUGUUGGUGAGGUAACGGCUCACCAAGGCGACGAUCCCUAGCUGGUCUGAGAGGAUGACCAGCCACACUGGAACUGAGACACGGUCCAGACUCCUACGGGAGGCAGCAGUGGGGAAUAUUGCACAAUGGGCGCAAGCCUGAUGCAGCCAUGCCGCGUGUAUGAAGAAGGCCUUCGGGUUGUAAAGUACUUUCAGCGGGGAGGAAGGUGUUGUGGUUAAUAACCGCAGCAAUUGACGUUACCCGCAGAAGAAGCACCGGCUAACUCCGUGCCAGCAGCCGCGGUAAUACGGAGGGUGCAAGCGUUAAUCGGAAUUACUGGGCGUAAAGCGCACGCAGGCGGUCUGUCAAGUCGGAUGUGAAAUCCCCGGGCUCAACCUGGGAACUGCAUUCGAAACUGGCAGGCUUGAGUCUUGUAGAGGGGGGUAGAAUUCCAGGUGUAGCGGUGAAAUGCGUAGAGAUCUGGAGGAAUACCGGUGGCGAAGGCGGCCCCCUGGACAAAGACUGACGCUCAGGUGCGAAAGCGUGGGGAGCAAACAGGAUUAGAUACCCUGGUAGUCCACGCCGUAAACGAUGUCUACUUGGAGGUUGUGCCCUUGAGGCGUGGCUUCCGGAGCUAACGCGUUAAGUAGACCGCCUGGGGAGUACGGCCGCAAGGUUAAAACUCAAAUGAAUUGACGGGGGCCCGCACAAGCGGUGGAGCAUGUGGUUUAAUUCGAUGCAACGCGAAGAACCUUACCUGGUCUUGACAUCCACAGAACUUUCCAGAGAUGGAUUGGUGCCUUCGGAACUGUGAGACAGGUGCUGCAUGGCUGUCGUCAGCUCGUGUUGUGAAAUGUUGGGUUAAGUCCCGCAACGAGCGCAACCCUUAUCCUUUGUUGCCAGCGAUUAGGUCGGGAACUCAAAGGAGACUGCCAGUGAUAAACUGGAGGAAGGUGGGGAUGACGUCAAGUCAUCAUGGCCCUUACGACCAGGGCUACACACGUGCUACAAUGGCGCAUACAAAGAGAAGCGACCUCGCGAGAGCAAGCGGACCUCAUAAAGUGCGUCGUAGUCCGGAUUGGAGUCUGCAACUCGACUCCAUGAAGUCGGAAUCGCUAGUAAUCGUGGAUCAGAAUGCCACGGUGAAUACGUUCCCGGGCCUUGUACACACCGCCCGUCACACCAUGGGAGUGGGUUGCAAAAGAAGUAGGUAGCUUAACCUUCGGGAGGGCGCUUACCACUUUGUGAUUCAUGACUGGGGUGAAGUCGUAACAAGGUAACCGUAGGGGAACCUGCGGUUGGAUCACCUCCUUACCUUAAAGAAGC